rnacentral:snRNA from 1 species
GUGGUUACCUGCCAGGAGAGAUACCAGGAUCAAGAAGGUGGUUUUCCCAGGAUGAGGCUCACCCACUCUUCUCAGGGAGUGCUGACCCUGCAAUUUCCCCAAAUGCAGAAAACCUGACUGCGUAAUUUGUGGUAGUGGGGGAUGGCGUUUGUGUUCUCUCCUA